rnacentral:rRNA from 1 species
CAAUAGCGUAUAUUAAAGUUGUUGCGGUUAAAAAGCUCGUAGUUGGAUUUCUGCUGAGGACGAUCGGUCCGCCCACUGGGUGAGUAUCUGGCUCGGCCUUGGCAUCUUCUUGGAGAACGUUGCUGCACUUGACUGUGUGGUGCGGUAUCCAGGACUUUUACUUUGAGGAAAUUAGAGUGUUUCAAGCAGGCGCACGCCUUGAAUACAUUAGCAUGGAAUAAUAAGAUAGGACCUUAGUUCUAUUUUGUUGGUUUCUAGAGCUGAGGUAAUGAUUAAUAGGGAUAGUUGGGGGCAUUCGUAUUUAACUGUCAGAGGUGAUAUUCUUGGAUUUGUUAAAGACGGACUACUGCGAAAGCAUUUGCCAAGGAUGUUUUCAUUGA